AAGAGCCUUGUUCUUCCCUAGGGAUGGAGCCUGAAUUCAGAAGUGUGAGCUCAUGAAUAAGCCAGAUGUGGUUUGAACUGCAGCAGCAAGUCUUGAUAACUGAAUGAAGAAGGGAAAGAGAAAGAAGUAAGAAUGAGAAGAAGUGAGAAAAAAGUUCCUGACUAGGGAUCGAACUCACACCCUCUGCAUUGGAAGCAUGGAGUCUCAACCACUGGACCACCAGGGAAGACCCUGGCUGGUGUUUUAGUUCCUGGCUUCAGCUUGCACCCCAGAGUCAGAGACAUCAUCCAGUCAGCUGCUAGGGACACCGGUUUGACCCCUGGUCUGGAAAGAUCUCAUAUGCCAAAGGGCAACUAAACCCAGGUGCCUCCACUGGAGCCCACGCACCUAGGGCCCCGUGCGGUAGCAAGAGAAGCCGUAGCAGUAAGUCCGUGCACCGCGACCAAGAGCAGCGCCUCUCGCCAUGACUACAGAAAGGCCGAGUGCAGCAAUGAAGA